rnacentral:lncRNA from 1 species
UACCAGUGCAUUCCACCUAUCAGAGUCGACUCAUUACUUCAAAAGCCGACUCCUAAACAUCCUAAACUUAAUUUUUUUUUAAUUUUUAGCUUAUUUUUGUUCAGGGGUCUACUUCUAUGCUUCUGGGGUCGACUUCACUAAGUCAAAUACAUGAAAUUUCUUAUUUGAAUUAUUUUGACUUAGCUUCUUUGAGGAAAUUUGUCCUAUG